GGAAUUUCGGACAAUGGGCGAAAGCCUGAUCCAGCCAUGCCGCGUGCGGGAAGAAGGCCUUCGGGUUGUAAACCGCUUUUGGCAGGAACGAAACGGCGCGGGCUAAUACCCCGCGCUACUGCCGGUACCUGCAGAAUAAGCACCGGCUAACUACGGUCCAGCAGCCGCGGUAAUACGUAGGGUGCGAGCGUUAAUCGGAAUUACUGGGCGUAAAGCGUACGCAGGCGGCUCUGUAAGACAGAUGUGAAAUCCCCCGGGCUCAACCUGGGAACUGCAUUUGUGACUGCAGGGCUAGAGUAUGUCAGAGGGGGGUGGAAUUCCACGUGUAGCAGUGAAAUGCGUAGAGAUGUGGAGGAACACCGAUGGCGAAGGCAGCCCCCUGGGAUGUGACUGACGCUCAUGUACGAAAGCGUGGGGAGCAAACAGG
rnacentral:rRNA from 1 species